rnacentral:rRNA from 1 species
CCUACGGGAGGCAGCAGUGAGGAAUAUUGGUCAAUGGUCGGGAGACUGAACCAGCCAAGCCGCGUGAGGGAUGAAGGUACAGAGUAUCGUAAACCUCUUUUGUCAGGGAACAAAGGCGGGGACGUGUCCCCGGAUGAGUGUACCUGAAGAAAAAGCAUCGGCUAACUCCGUGCCAGCAGCCGCGGUAAUACGGAGGAUGCGAGCGUUAUCCGGAUUUAUUGGGUUGAACGGGUGCGCAGGCGGUCUGUUAAGUCAGCGGUAAAAGCCCGGGGCUCAACCCCGGCCCGCCGUUGAAACUGGCAGUCUCGAGUUGGAGAGAAGUAUACGGAAUGCGCGGUGUAGCGGUGAAAUGCAGAGAUAUCGCGCAGAACUCCGAUUGCGAAGGCAGCAUGCCGGCUCCACACUGACGCUGAGGCACGAAAGCGUGGGUAUCGAACAGGAUUAGAUACCCCAGUAGUC